rnacentral:rRNA from 1 species
UACCACCCUUUAAUGUUUGAUGUUCUAACGUUGGCCCCUAAUCGGGGUUGCGGACAGUGUCUGGUGGGUAGUUUGACUGGGGCGGUCUCCUCCUAAAGAGUAACGGAGGAGCACGAAGGUUGGCUAAUCCUGGUCGGACAUCAGGAGGUUAGUGCAAUGGCAUAAGCCAGCUUGACUGCGAGCGUGACGGCGCGAGCAGGUGCGAAAGCAGGUCAUAGUGAUCCGGUGGUUCUGAAUGGAAGGGCCAUCGCUCAACGGAUAAAAGGUACUCCGGGGAUAACAGGCUGAUACCGCCCAAGAGUUCAUAUCGACGGCGGUGUUUGGCACCUCGAUGUCGGCUCAUCACAUCCUGGGGCUGAAGUAGGUCCCAAGGGUAUGGCUGUUCGCCAUUUAAAGUGGUACGCGAGCUGGGUUUAGAACGUCGUGAGACAGUUCGGUCCCUAUCUGCCGUGGGCGCUGGAGAACUGAGGGGGGCUGCUCCUAGUACGAGAGGACCGGAGUGGACGCAUCACUGGUGUUCGGGUUGUCAUGCCAAUGGCACUGCCCGGUAGCUAAAUGCGGAAGAGAUAAGUGCUGAAAGCAUCUAAGCACGAAACUUGCCCCGAGAUG